rnacentral:snRNA from 1 species
GUUCGCUUUGGCAGCACAUAUACUAAAUUGGAAUGAUACAGAGAAGAUUAGCAUGGCCUCUGCGCAAGGAUGACACACAAAUUCAUGAAGCAUUCCAUAUUUUU